UAUUGAAACAGGUGCUGCAUGGCUGUCGUCAGCUCGUGUUGUGAAAUGUUGGGUUAAGUCCCGCAACGAGCGCAACCCUUAUCCUUUGUUGCCAGCGGUUCGGCCGGGAACUCAAAGGAGACUGCCAGUGAUAAACUGGAGGAAGGUGGGGAUGACGUCAAGUCAUCAUGGCCCUUACGAGUAGGGCUACACACGUGCUACAAUGGCGCAUACAAAGAGAAGCGACCUCGCGAGAGCAAGCGGACCUCAUAAAGUNNGUCGUAGUCCGGAUUGGAGUCUGCAACUCGACUCCAUGAAGUCGGAAUCGCUAGUAAUCGUGGAUCAGAAUGCCACGGUGAAUACGUUCCCGGGCCUUGUACACACCGCCCGUCACACCAUGGGAGUGGGUUGCAAAAGAAGUAGGUAGCUUAACCUUCGGGAGGGCGCUUACCACUUUGUGAUUCAUGACUGGAGG
rnacentral:rRNA from 1 species